GGCAUGUGUGUAUAUAAAGGGCUGAACUGUUUGUCACCGGUUGUCUGAGUAAAGGGGCUGAGACUUCCUGCUGGGAUGGGAGAACCACAGUAACACUCAGUGGACUGAACGAGACGAAUUUUUAACUGAGAAGUUUGAGUCCUUGCUUCAAGCAACAUUUGGGAUGAAAAAUGCAGCCAUUCCUGGGAGGUGCUUUAGUGAUUUUGUGGCUUCGAGUGGAAUGGGUGACCGGUCAAAAGAUAGACCAGAAUCCUCAGGCCCUGAGCAUCCAGGAGGGUGGAAAGGCCUCUCUGAUCUGUAACUAUACAAACUAUUUUCCGGCGUACAUGCAGUGGUACCGACAAGAUCCAGGAAAAGGUCUUGUCUUCUUGCUACUAAUACGUGAAAACGAGGGUGAAAAACAGAAAGGAAGACUGAGGGUCACCUUUGAUACCGCCAGGAAACAGAGCUCCUUUCAUGUUUCAGCGGCCCAGCCUGCAGACUCAGCCACCUACCUCUGUGCUGCAGACACAGCGGUGCCCUGCCAGCUCCUUCCUGUACCCAAACCUGCUAACCUCUUAGUCAACAGAGCUGUGGCUGUGCAGUCCUUUCGAGAUCUACCACCACUCCUAGCAAAAUAAAGUGUGGGCUAUUUGAAAAGGCAAAGCGCGACAGACAGCCCUGGACUGACCGGGAGUGGGGAUCUGCCAUGGUCUCCGUACUGCUGAUAGGACUGUGUGACCUGGAGGAGCUCAUAAGAUCUGCAGGUGUCAGUGUUCUGAUCUAAGAAUGGUGGGCGUAACACAUGAUUUCUCAGGUUUCUCUCAGCUCUUAAAUUUAAAGACAGCUUUUUCUUUUUCCAGAAAAACAAACAAACACACACACAGAAAGCUCCUCUAGAAUGCCUGAGAAUAAGAAAGAAGGAUUUGCUUUUGAAAAAAAAAUUAGUUAAUUGUGCCCGAUUUUUGUUCUCAAGCUUGUAUAGCUGAAGAAACGGACAGGACUGAACACACAUCUCUUAAGCAUAAAAAAUAUAUUGCUGUAGAUGAAACAAAUAGCUUAAACAUAAUCUUGAGAGUCUUCAAAACUGGACACCAAAUAGUAGUUAUGAG